rnacentral:rRNA from 1 species
CAUGAGUUAUGUCAUGUUAUCGAUAUGUGAAUACAUAGCAUAUCAGAAGGCACACCCGGAGAACUGAAACAUCUUAGUACCCGGAGGAAGAGAAAGAAAAUUCGAUUCCCUUAGUAGCGGCGAGCGAAACGGGAAGAGCCCAAACCAACAAGCUUGCUUGUUGGGGUUGUAGGACACUCUAUACGGAGUUACAAAGGACGACAUUAGACGAAUCAUCUGGAAAGAUGAAUCAAAGAAGGUAAUAAUCCUGUAGUCGAAAAUGUUGUCUCUCUUGAGUGGAUCCUGAGUACGACGGAGCACGUGAAAUUCCGUCGGAAUCUGGGAGGACCAUCUCCUAAGGCUAAAUACUCUCUAGUGACCGAUAGUGAACCAGUACCGUGAGGGAAAGGUGAAAAGCACCCCGGAAGGGGAGUGAAAUAGAACCUGAAACCGUGUGCUUACAAGUAGUCAGAGCCCGUUAAUGGGUGAUGGCGUGCCUUUUGUAGAAUGAACCGGCGAGUUACGAUUUGAUGCAAGGUUAAGCAGUAAAUGUGGAGCCGUAGCGAAAGCGAGUCUGAAUAGGGCGUUUAGUAUUUGGUCGUAGACCCGAAACCAGGUGAUCUACCCUUGGUCAGGUUGAAGUUCAGGUAACACUGAAUGGAGGACCGAACCGACUUACGUUGAAAAGUGAGCGGAUGAACUGAGGGUAGCGGAGAAAUUCCAAUCGAACCUGGAGAUAGCUGGUUCUCUCCGAAAUAGCUUUAGGGCUAGCCUCAAGUGAUGAUUAUUGGAGGUAGAGCACUGUUUGGACGAGGGGCCCCUCUCGGGUUACCGAAUUCAGACAAACUCCGAAUGCCAAUUAAUUUAACUUGGGAGUCAGAACAUGGGUGAUAAGGUCCGUGUUCGAAAGGGAAACAGCCCAGACCACCAGCUAAGGUCCCAAAAUAUAUGUUAAGUGGAAAAGGAUGUGGCGUUGCCCAGACAACUAGGAUGUUGGCUUAGAAGCAGCCAUCAUUUAAAGAGUGCGUAAUAGCUCACUAGUCGAGUGACACUGCGCCGAAAAUGUACCGGGGCUAAACAUAUUACCGAAGCUGUGGAUUGUCCUUUGGACAAUGGUAGGAGAGCGUUCUAAGGGCGUUGAAGCAUGAUCGUAAGGACAUGUGGAGCGCUUAGAAGUGAGAAUGCCGGUGUGAGUAGCGAAAGACGGGUGAGAAUCCCGUCCACCGAUUGACUAAGGUUUCCAGAGGAAGGCUCGUCCGCUCUGGGUUAGUCGGGUCCUAAGCUGAGGCCGACAGGCGUAGGCGAUGGAUAACAGGUUGAUAUUCCUGUACCACCUAUAAUCGUUUUAAUCGAUGGGGGGACGCAGUAGGAUAGGCGAAGCGUGCGAUUGGAUUGCACGUCUAAGCAGUAAGGCUGAGUAUUAGGCAAAUCCGGUACUCGUUAAGGCU